rnacentral:rRNA from 1 species
GAUGAACGCUAUCUACAGGCUUAACACAUGCAAGUCGAGGGGCAUCAGGAAGAAAGCUUGCUUUCUUUGCUGGCGACCGGCGCACGGGUGAGUAACACGUAUCCAACCUGCCCUUUACUCGGGGAUAGCCUUUCGAAAGAAAGAUUAAUACCCGAUGGCAUAAUGAUUCCGCAUGGUUUCAUUAUUAAAGGAUUCCGGUAAAGGAUGGGGAUGCGUUCCAUUAGGUUGUUGGUGAGGUAACGGCUCACCAAGCCUUCGAUGGAUAGGGGUUCUGAGAGGAAGGUCCCCCACAUUGGAACUGAGACACGGUCCAAACUCCUACGGGAGGCAGCAGUGAGGAAUAUUGGUCAAUGGGCGCUAGCCUGAACCAGCCAAGUAGCGUGAAGGAUGAAGGCUCUAUGGGUCGUAAACUUCUUUUAUAUAAGAAUAAAGUGUAGUAUGUAUACUGUUUUGUAUGUAUUAUAUGAAUAAGGAUCGGCUAACUCCGUGCCAGCAGCCGCGGUAAUACGGAGGAUCCGAGCGUUAUCCGGAUUUAUUGGGUUUAAAGGGAGCGUAGGUGGACUGGUAAGUCAGUUGUGAAAGUUUGCGGCUCAACCGUAAAAUUGCAGUUGAUACUGUCAGUCUUGAGUACAGUAGAGGUGGGCGGAAUUCGUGGUGUAGCGGUGAAAUGCUUAGAUAUCACGAAGAACUCCGAUUGCGAAGGCAGCUCACUGGACUGCAACUGACACUGAUG